rnacentral:rRNA from 1 species
GAUGAACGCUGGCGGCGUGCCUAAUACAUGCAAGUCGAGCGAACAGAUAAGGAGCUUGCUCCUUUGACGUUAGCGGCGGACGGGUGAGUAACACGUGGGUAACCUACCUAUAAGACUGGGAUAACUUCGGGAAACCGGAGCUAAUACCGGAUAACAUUUGGAACCGCAUGGUUCUAAAGUGAAAGAUGGUUUUGCUAUCACUUAUAGAUGGACCCGCGCCGUAUUAGCUAGUUGGUAAGGUAACGGCUUACCAAGGCAACGAUACGUAGCCGACCUGAGAGGGUGAUCGGCCACACUGGAACUGAGACACGGUCCAGACUCCUACGAGAGGCAGCAGUAGGGAAUCUUCCGCAAUGGGCGAAAGCCUGACGGAGCAACGCCGCGUGAGUGAUGAAGGGUUUCGGCUCGUAAAACUCUGUUAUUAGGGAAGAACAAACGUGUAAGUAACUGUGCACGUCUUGACGGUACCUAAUCAGAAAGCCACGGCUAACUACGUG